rnacentral:RNase_P_RNA from 1 species
UAUUUCGGGUAAUCGCUAUAGCAAUAUAGAGGAAAGUCCAUGCUCACACAGUCUGAGAUGAUUGUAGUGUUCGUGCUUGAUGAAACAAUAAAUCAAGGCAUUAAUUUGACGGCAACGAAAUAACCUAAGUCAUAUGAUAUGGUUAGAAUAGUUUGAAAGUGCCACAGUGACGUAGCUUUUAUAGAAAUAUAAAAGGUGGAACGCGGUAAACCCCUCGAGUGAGCAAUCCAAAU